CAUGUGCGGUACGAACGUGGUCUUCAGCUCUGCAGAGCUGACAUGGUUAACUUAGAAAUUCACGUGUGAUGUCCAAGCUUGGAUGCUUGCUUUGGAAAUAUGGCAUAUUUGUGGGCUCUUGGCAUCUAUGAUUUUUCUUCCAAAGCUCCUUGGUGACCAAAUUCAUGGCUUCCUCUCCUUGAGUCAAUUUCUAAACAAGGUCCAGGCUCUCAGACCCCUGCUAGGAUGAAUCAUAGAAAGGGCCUACAGUGACACUCCAUUAGCAAAAAGCACACCUAGUGCUCAGGAACCAAGGCUCCUCGGGGAAAUGGCUGAUUCCAGGGCUUGAAGAGGAAGAAUACCAAAUGAAUCUGGACUGUCUUGUGCCAGAAAGAGGUGAAACUUACUUCUCCUCCCCUUGAAUGUGGGCUGGACUUAAGGACUCACUUCUAAUAAAUAGUGAAUGGAAAGAGAAAAUGAUAACUUUACAGUGGAGAAAGCUGGCAGACGCCAGCAUAAUCAGAAGAUCAAGGUUAACAUCACCAGUGAUGAGUCAUGUUGAUGGCAUGCAUGCCCUGAGAUGACGCAGUGAGAAAGGGGCUUUACUUUAGUGACGUUCUUCUCAAAGACCCAUAACCUCAGUCUAAAAAUGAGAAACAUCAGGCAAAUUCAAACCGAGGGACAUUUACAAAAUACCUGAUUUUGCCACGCCUGCCUCCUAUUUUCAGCUAAACCUCAGUGAAGAAAAAUCCAGAGCAGAGGAUAUUUAUUUCAAUCUAUUUUUAUGUAAUGUCCCAAUUCUCCAUUUUAAUAGCAAUAUUAUAAAGUUACUAUAUAUUAUCAUUACUCUUCCUAUUGUUUUAAAAUAAUUGGAGUCUUGAAACAAGAAGACUUUCAGUUUCCAGUAUUGGCAGGCUUGGUUAUUUGGACCAACUCUCUUACUGAAAAGAACUAUAAAACUCCAACAAAUUAUUAAAACAAUCCUUCUGAAAAAUUAUGAAUUGCUGACAACACAGUAAGGAAAAACAGGCCAAAAAGUGAAAGGAAAACAGGAACCUGGAGUGAAUAGGGAAACC
rnacentral:lncRNA from 1 species